CCUUGUGCCCCAGCGCUUGCUGCCACAGCCUCUUUCUCAUAAGCUACCUUGCAGCAGGAGUGGAGAGGAGCCAUGAGACUGUGAUGCUGGCAAGUCAUAGUGAAAUGAGCUGCCGCCUUUUGAAGCUGUGCCGGGGGAACUGAAGAGGAUCUUGCCCAUUCGUCUACCGAAGAACACCAUCCUCCCAGAACUUCUUUUCUCACACUGGCCGGCACUGGGUAUUUUGUGCAGCAGACACUCAGGAAAUGCUUGUUGAAUUGACUUUUUAAUGUGCCCUACGAGAAAACAAAAGGCAAGACAUUUCAGAUUUUUCUGAAAUGAAGGAAUAAAUUUGCAUAAAUAUCAUAAGAAUGAAGAAGAAUUUUUUUACAAGUAUAAAUUUAGACGUGGAGCUUCGCGCUGCCUUCAUUUUCUCUCUGGGAUCCUGAGCCCUAGUGGGUGAAAUACCUUGUUUGUCUGUGGUAAUGGAAAGACCCAAGGCUUGAACUCAACUCUUGGAGCCCCUUUCCCACUCGGUAUUUCCCGUUUUCAGGAGAGGGAAGGUAAUGAGAGGUCACUAGGGGAUUCUAAGAACAUAAACGAUCCAAAAAAAUCAAUCAACUUUUCUGAUGAUAUUGAGGAUGGAUAGAAAUGCAGAGAGAAAUAAAAAGAGAACACACCGAUGUAUGCCGUUAUUGUGCUCCCUGUAGGAAUACAAGAGGAAGUCAGAGGUGUAGGAAGUGAAAGGGAAGGCGUGCAUUUGAUGUGUCUGGUUCAGUCUCCUGGGGCACACAGAAGGGUAAAAAAGGGUAACGAGUGCCCCUGGAAGGAAAACCUCAAGUCCUCAUUCUUUUGAUGUGCUGGGUGUGGGAUUUACUGCCCUUGAAAAGUAACAUGGCAGAGAUAGUUGCAGCUUCCCAGACAUCUAAUCCACAUGCUCCGCAGCUCCCCUGUGCCAAGUAAGGCCUUGUGACUAGUUCUGACAAAUGGUCUACAAGUGGAAUUGGCACAUACUGUUUCUGGGUUGAAGCACUGAAGCAACAGCACUUGACCACGUGUCUUUUUCUUUGCUGUGGGAACCUGAAGACCAGGUGUGUUGUAGAAAAAUAUUGGAGAAGUAGACUGGAGCCUGAUCUACCUCACAAAAGAGAGUUGUCCUGGAAAGCUAUUGGACCUGCAGCAGGCUUUGCAU
rnacentral:lncRNA from 10 species